GAUGAACGCUAGCUACAGGCUUAACACAUGCAAGUCGAGGGGCAGCAUGGUCUUAGCUUGCUAAGGCCGAUGGCGACCGGCGCACGGGUGAGUAACACGUAUCCAACCUGCCGUCUACUCUUGGACAGCCUUCUGAAAGGAAGAUUAAUACAAGAUGGCAUCAUGAGUCCGCAUGUUCACAUGAUUAAAGGUAUUCCGGUAGACGAUGGGGAUGCGUUCCAUUAGAUAGUAGGCGGGGUAACGGCCCACCUAGUCUUCGAUGGAUAGGGGUUCUGAGAGGAAGGUCCCCCACAUUGGAACUGAGACACGGUCCAAACUCCUACGGGAGGCAGCAGUGAGGAAUAUUGGUCAAUGGGCGAGAGCCUGAACCAGCCAAGUAGCGUGAAGGAUGACUGCCCUAUGGGUUGUAAACUUCUUUUAUAAAGGAAUAAAGUCGGGUAUGCAUACCCGUUUGCAUGUACUUUAUGAAUAAGGAUCGGCUAACUCCGUGCCAGCAGCCGCGGUAAUACGGAGGAUCCGAGCGUUAUCCGGAUUUAUUGGGUUUAAAGGGAGCGUAGAUGGAUGUUUAAGUCAGUUGUGAAAGUUUGCGGCUCAACCGUAAAAUUGCAGUUGAUACUGGAUAUCUUGAGUGCAGUUGAGGCAGGCGGAAUUCGUGGUGUAGCGGUGAAAUGCUUAGAUAUCACGAAGAACUCCGAUUGCGAAGGCAGCCUGCUAAGCUGCAACUGACAUUGAGGCUCGAAAGUGUGGGUAUCAAACAGGAUUAGAUACCCUGGUAGUCCACACGGUAAACGAUGAAUACUCGCUGUUUGCGAUAUAUAGCAAGCGGCCAAGCGAAAGCGUUAAGUAUUCCACCUGGGGAGUACGCCGGCAACGGUGAAACUCAAAGGAGUUGACGGGGGCCCGCACAAGCGGAGGAACAUGUGGUUUAAUUCGAUGAUACGCGAGGAACCUUACCCGGGCUUAAAUUGCAGAUGAAUUACGGUGAAAGCCGUAAGCCGCAAGGCAUCUGUGAAGGUGCUGCAUGGUUGUCGUCAGCUCGUGCCGUGAGGUGUCGGCUUAAGUGCCAUAACGAGCGCAACCCUUGUUGUCAGUUACUAACAGGUUCCGCUGAGGACUCUGACAAGACUGCCAUCGUAAGAUGUGAGGAAGGUGGGGAUGACGUCAAAUCAGCACGGCCCUUACGUCCGGGGCUACACACGUGUUACAAUGGGGGGUACAGAGGGCCGCUACCACGCGAGUGGAUGCCAAUCCCCAAAACCUCUCUCAGUUCGGACUGGAGUCUGCAACCCGACUCCACGAAGCUGGAUUCGCUAGUAAUCGCGCAUCAGCCACGGCGCGGUGAAUACGUUCCCGGGCCU
rnacentral:rRNA from 1 species